GCUAGUAUGCUGAUGAUACUAAUUUAUCUGUUACUGGAGAAAGUGCAAGUGAUAUCGAAGUGAGAUUGAAUACUGAACUUGAAAAUGUUCAUGAAUGGCUAACAGCGAAUAAAUUAACACUUAAUACUGAGAAAACUGAGUACAUGAUUAUCGGUUCGUAUAAGAGAAUUUCAAAUCUUCAAAAAGAAGAUGAAAUUAAAAUUAGGAUUGGGGAUAAUGAAAUAAAACGAGUCAAAACUACUAAAAGUCUGGGAAUUGUAAUUGAUGAAAAUUUAGCAUGGAAAGAAAAUAUUGACAAUCUCAGCGUUAAGGUGUCAAGGGCAAUAGGAGUUAUUCGCCGAGCUAAAAAAUACAUUAAACAAGAUGC